CAGCCAGAAGGAACUCUAUAUAAUAUGAAGUUUAAGCAUAACAAACUAAUAAAAACCCAUAAAUAUAACAAACUUUUCUAUUUUAUACUAUAUGACACCAAAUAUAAUAUAAUAAAAAGGGAAAACUUUAAAUACUCCCCUUGUGGUUUCACUCUUUCUCACUUUAGUACGCUGCGGUUUAAAGUGUAUCAAGUUAGUACCUUGUGGUUUCGCACUUUCUCACUUUAGUACCCUGUGGUUUAAAGUGUAUCAAGUUAGUACCCUGUGGUUUCGCACUUUCUCACUUUAGUACCCUGUGGUUUAAAGUGUAUCAAGUUAGUACCUUGUGGUUUCGCACUUUCUCACUUUAGUACUCUAUGGUUUUGCACUUUCUCACUUUAGUACCCUGUUGUUUAAAAAUCACAGGGUACUAACUUGAUACAAAAAUAAAUCCACAGGGUACUAGCUUGAUACAAAAAUAAAACCACAUAGUACUAACUUGAUACACUUUAAACCACAGGGUACUAAAGUGAGAAAGUGCGAAACCACAUGGUACUAACUUGAUACACUUUAAACCACAUGGUAGUAAAAUAAAAACGUGCGAAACCAUGCGGGGUUUUGAAGUUUUCCCUAAUAAAAAGUCAUAAAUCUCUAUUUUUUUGUGAAAAAAAAGAAAUCUCAUACAUCUUGAACUUCAGAUCCGUUGAUAGGGCCGCGAGGAAUUAACGAAGGCUUUUGAGGCCGCUGAGUGAGAUCGAGAUGCGUGGGCUCAACUUGCUCCAUAUAUUGCGAGGGUGCGAAUGUCAAAUAAGAUCAAAUGCAUGGUCUCGACUUCCUCCAGAGCUUGGUGGUUGACUGCUAUGGUGCGGCCGCUCGUCGACUGAGAUCGAGAUGGAUAGGGAGGAGGGUUCGUAGAAAAGAAGAGAGUGGGAAGGAGAAAAUAACAAAGAAGGGGACAGAGAAGGGAAAGUAACUUUUUCUUUUUUUACUUAAGAGUAACGGCGAUGCUUCUCUAUCUC
rnacentral:lncRNA from 1 species